UACGUAGGGUGCGAGCGUUGUCCGGAAUUAUUGGGCGUAAAGGGCUCGUAGGCGGUUUGUCGCGUCGGGAGUGAAAUCCACUGGCUUAACUGGUGGCUUGCUUUCGAUACGGGCAGACUGGAGGUAUGCAGGGGGAGAACGGAAUUCCUGGUGUAGCGGUGAAAUGCGCAGAUAUCAGGAGGAACACCGGUGGCGAAGGCAGGUCUCUGGGCCAUUACUGACACUGAGAAGCGAAAGCAUGGGGAGCGAACAGG
rnacentral:rRNA from 1 species